UCCAGGAACCAAUUUGAAUAUUCAACAGAUUGAGAAGCAGUAAGAAAGGGGCCCGAGCCGAGGGCUUUUGCCCUUUUGUCACCCUAUUCCGAAGUUCGAAAGAGGGAAGAGGGGAAAAAUCGCUUGUCACUGGCCACUUUCUGCUGUCAGAGGAAGGCCACCGCCGCUGGCUGCCCGCUGCUGCCAGAAGAAGGGCACUGCUGCCGGAAGAUGGGCACUGCCGCCGCUGCCCGCCGUUAGGCCAUUUGGAAAGGCUUUCGGAAUUUAAGAAGUUCGUUUCUGGUUAUUCCAAUUAAGCCCACUGUCAACCCGCAGCCUCACUCCUUCCUUCCAGUCGUGAGGGACAAAGAAGCAUUGAUGGCAUCCAAUCUUAGUAUGAAGCAAAGUAAGAAGCCUAUAGAGUUCUUCAACUCUUACAAUUAGUGAUGGCUAGGAUCACACAUGUAUAGCUUUCGUAUUGGAUUUCAAUGAGGAGUAAAAGCAAGAGUACACAGGGAGUAGCAAAUGGAUAAGACCUAUGUAUAUAACCAAGGAUAAUGCAGACAGAACUAUUUGUAACCAAGGAUGAUGCCAAUCUCUAUAUAACAUUGGUCAAGGAGCCCCACAGGCAUGAUGGCUUUGAGGCAUGCAAGGAUGAGAGGACUCAAAAAUGAG